CUCCUCAAUGUUCUGGGCGACACGCGCACUACAAUGUCAGUGAGAACAAGAUUACCGACCUUCUGAUCGGACCCACUUGAUUCAAAAGAGGGGGGAAACACCGGAAUCACAUCGACCCGCUUGGGACCGAGUAUUGCAAUUAUUGGUCGCGCAACGAGGAAUGUCUCGUAGGCGCAGCUCAUCAAACUGUGCCGAUUACGUCCCUGCCAUUUGUACACACCGCCCGUCGCUCCUACCGAUCGAAGAGUUAGGUGAAUUGUUUUGAUCGAUAAGAUUUGACUAUGGUCAACUCUCGUUGUGAAAUUCUGUGAAUCUGACUGUUUAGAGGAAGGAAAAGUCGUAACA
rnacentral:rRNA from 1 species